rnacentral:rRNA from 1 species
ACGGAGCGUAGGUUCUAGCGAGCCAACCUCCCACCCGUGUUUACUGUACCUUAGUUGCUUCGGCGGGCCCGCCAUUCAUGGCCGCCGGGGGCUCUCAGCCCCGGGCCCGCGCCCGCCGGAGACACCACGAACUCUGUCUGAUCUAGUGAAGUCUGAGUUGAUUGUAUCGCAAUCAGUUAAAACUUUCAACAAUGGAUCUCUUGGUUCCGGCAUCGAUGAAGAACGCAGCGAAAUGCGAUAACUAGUGUGAAUUGCAGAAUUCCGUGAAUCAUCGAGUCUUUGAACGCACAUUGCGCCCCCUGGUAUUCCGGGGGGCAUGCCUGUCCGAGCGUCAUUGCUGCCCAUCAAGCACGGCUUGUGUGUUGGGUCGUCGUCCCCUCUCCGGGGGGGACGGGCCCCAAAGGCAGCGGCGGCACCGCGUCCGAUCCUCGAGCGUAUGGGGCUUUGUCACCCGCUCUGUAGGCCCGGCCGGCGCUUGCCGAACGCAAAUCAAUCUUUUUCCAGGUUGACCUCGGAUCAGGUAGGGAUACCCGCUGAACUUAAGCAUAUCAAAACCCGGAGAAAU